UACGUAGGGUGCAAGCGUUGUCCGGAAUUAUUGGGCGUAAAGAGCGUGUAGGCGGCUCGAUUAGUCCGCUGUGAAGCCCGGGCUCAACCCGGCGUGCAGUGGAUACGGGCCGGCGUGGAGGCAGGCAGGGGAGAAUGGAAUUCCGGUGUAGCGGUGAAAUGCGCAGAUAUCAGGAGGAACACCGGUGGCGAAGGCGGUCU
rnacentral:rRNA from 1 species